rnacentral:rRNA from 2 species
UAUACAUGCAAGUCGAGCGAACUGAUUAGAAGCUUGCUUCUAUGACGUUAGCGGCGGACGGGUGAGUAACACGUGGGCAACCUGCCUGUAAGACUGGGAUAACUUCGGGAAACCGAAGCUAAUACCGGAUAGGAUCUUCUCCUUCAUGGGAGAUGAUUGAAAGAUGGUUUCGGCUAUCACUUACAGAUGGGCCCGCGGUGCAUUAGCUAGUUGGUGAGGUAACGGCUCACCAAGGCAACGAUGCAUAGCCGACCUGAGAGGGUGAUCGGCCACACUGGGACUGAGACACGGCCCAGACUCCUACGGGAGGCAGCAGUAGGGAAUCUUCCGCAAUGGACGAAAGUCUGACGGAGCAACGCCGCGUGAGUGAUGAAGGCUUUCGGGUCGUAAAACUCUGUUGUUAGGGAAGAACAAGUACGAGAGUAACUGCUCGUACCUUGACGGUACCUAACCAGAAAGCCACGGCUAACUACGUGCCAGCAGCCGCGGUAAUACGUAGGUGGCAAGCGUUAUCCGGAAUUAUUGGGCGUAAAGCGCGCGCAGGCGGUUUCUUAAGUCUGAUGUGAAAGCCCACGGCUCAACCGUGGAGGGUCAUUGGAAACUGGGGAACUUGAGUGCAGAAGAGAAAAGCGGAAUUCCACGUGUAGCGGUGAAAUGCGUAGAGAUGUGGAGGAACACCAGUGGCGAAGGCGGCUUUUUGGUCUGUAACUGACGCUGAGGCGCGAAAGCGUGGGGAGCAAACAGGAUUAG